rnacentral:rRNA from 1 species
UUGGAGGGCAAGUCUGGUGCCAGCAGCCGCGGUAAUUCCAGCUCCAAUAGCGUAUAUUAAAGUUGUUGCAGUUAAAAAGCUCGUAGUUGAAUUUCGGGGUUCUACCGUUGGUCGGGCUUUGUCUGUACUGAUGUGUAGAAUUUCUACCUUCUGGGGAACCAUCAUGUUAUUAAUUUAGCGUGGUGGGAAACCAGGACCUUUACCUUGAAAAAAUUAGAGUGUUCAAAGCAGGCUUAUGUCUGAAUACAUUAGCAUGGAAUAAUAGAAUAGGACGGUGGUCCUGUUUUGUUGGUUUCUGAAUCACCGUAAUGAUUAAUAGGGAUAGUUGGGGGCAUUAGUAUUCAAUUGUCAGAGGUGAAAUUCUUGGAUUUAUUGAAGACUAACUUCUGCGAAAGCAUUUGCCAAGGAUGUUUUCAUUAAUCAAGAACGAAAGUUAGGGGAUCGAAGACGAUCAGAUACCGUCGUAGUCUUAACCAUAAACUAUGCCGACUAGGGAUCGGACGAUGUUAAUUUUUCUUGACUCGUUCGGCGCCUUACGGGAAAC